rnacentral:rRNA from 1 species
UGCAAGUCGAACGCAGUAGCAAUACUGAGUGGCAAACGGGUGAGUAUAAUGUGGGUAUCUGCCUUUUGGUUUGGAAUAACAUGAGGAAACUUAUGCUAAUACCGAAUAAGCCUUCACAGGGAAAGUUUUAACGCCGAAAGAUGAGCCCGCACUUGAUUAGUUUGUUGGUGAGGUAAUGGCUCACCAAGACAAUUAUCAAUAGCUGGUCUGAGAGGACGAUCAGCCACAUUGGGACUGAGACACGGCCCAGACUCCUACGGGAGGCAGCAGUAAGGAAUCUUGCACAAUGGGGGAAACCCUGAUGCAGCGAUGCCGCGUGAGUGAAGAAGGCCCUUGGGUUGUAAAACUCUUUCGUCGGGGAAGAAAAUGACUGUACCCGAAUAAGAAGGUCCGGCUAACUUCGUGCCAGCAGCCGCGGUAAUACGAAGGGACCUAGCGUAGUUCGGAAUUACUGGGCUUAAAGAGCUCGUAGGUGGUUAAAAUAGUUGAUGGUGAAAUCCCAAGGCUCAACCUUGGAACUGCCAUCAAAACUUUUUAGCUAGAGUGUGAUAGAGGAAAGUGGAAUUUCUAGUGUAGAGGUGAAAUUCGUAGAUAUUAGAAAGAACACCAAAUGCGAAGGCAACUUUCUGGGUCACUACUGACACUGAGGAGCGAAAGCAUGGUAGCGAA